ensembl:snRNA LOC120094421 U6 spliceosomal RNA
AUUCUCUAGUUGGUGGCAUAUAUACUCAAAUUGGAUCCAUGCAGAGAUUAGCAUGGCUCCUGCAAAAGAAUGGCAUGGAAAUCUUGGAGGAAGGCAGUAUCCAU